AGCGAACGCUGGCGGUAGGCUUAACACAUGCAAGUCGAACGGCAGCACCGUAAGAGCUUGCUCUUACGGGUUGCCAGUCGCGUACGGGAGAGGAAUAUAACGGACUCUACUUUUUCGUGUGGGAUAACGUAGCGAAACCUACGCUAAUACCGCAUCCGACCUACGGGUGAAAGCAGGGGAACUUCUGACCUUGCGCGAUUGAAUGAGCCGAUGUCGGAUUAGCUAGUUGGCGGGGUACAGGCCCACCAAGGCGCCGAUCCGUAGCUGGUCUGAGUGGCUGGUCGGCCACACUGGAAGGUGGACACGGUCCAGAGGACUGCGAGAGGGAGCAGUGUGGAAUGGGGGGCAAUAGUCGGAAACCUGAUCCAGCGGUACCGCGUGGGUGGAAGAGGCCUUCGGGUUGUGAAGCCCUUUUGUGGGGAAAGAAAAGCAGCAGGUUAAUACCCCGCUGUUGUGACGGUACCCAAAGAAUAAGCACCGGCUAACUUCGUG
rnacentral:rRNA from 1 species